CCCAGGAGGUUGUGCUCGCGCCUCUCCCAGGGUCCAGGGGUCUUUUUGCGGUCCGCGGUGUUUUCCUAGGGCUUCCCGUGUUCAGACAAAGGAGCGGGCAACUUUCCACCGUCUGCGGAACGUAGCGACGGCGCGUUUCGGUCGUUCGCAGUUACGGGUGCAGAGUAGAAAAUUCUGUGCCCCGGCUGCCCACCUGGGUCCUCCCUUUCGCUGCCUCGGCCGACUUAGUUCAUUGCGCUUGGUAAUUGACUUUCGACGGCUUUGGGAUGCUGUUUUGGCCCGCGAGGAUUCAAGGAAUUAGAGUGUGCGCGGUGUCCUGCACCCUAUUUUCGUUUAGUACCGGCUUAUGAAGUCAGGUUUGUGAUGUGAAUGGACCAUGGGGGAGGGUGAAGGAAUUUGCAAUUAAAAUUUGUAUCCUGGGAUUUACGUUUUCCUUUCUUUGGAAGUGACUUCUGCAGUUGUCUCUGAAUUUUCCUACAAAUUAAGGAGCAAGACCAGUACUGGUUGUUGCAAGGUGAUUUCUUAAGGAUGGUUUCACGGACAAGCGUUGUGAUUAAUAUGAAUAGAUGGAUCGGCGCAGGAUGUAGACCGUUGUCUUGAUGUGCUUUUUUUUGUUGUGGUUAAAUGUACAUAACAAAAAUUGCCCUUUCAACCAUUUUUAAGUGUGUAGCUCUGUGGCAUUAAGAACACAUUCCAUGCAUUGCCCUUAAAGACAUUCUGAAGAUAACAGCUGGCUACUUAGACAGUGUUAUAUUAAAAGUGUACAGAUAAA